AUAUAAAUUUUACAAGUUCACAUAGAGGUUGAAGAAGAACAGUUGAAUAAUAUUUAUAGGUGCAAAGACUACUUUGAAAUUACAAAAUAUUAAAGUAGUCAACUUUGCAUGAGGUACUAAUUAAUUAAUCCAGUCCUAAUCUGUACUUUUGUAUUUUUAUUUCUUACAGGAUAAAGCAUUAAGGCAUAAUUUUACUUUUUAGUGUGUGAUGCACCACAUACAUGAGUAGCACAUACAGAGUUAAUAAAACAUAAACACUAACAUGCUUUGCUUUGCUGUUAAAACUACCUCAGGAUUUACCAAAUAAUCCCAACUCUUUUUGUGUCUCAGGGAUACGAUGUGUGAGCCCAAGUCAAGAUGGGACAUGCUUUUUUUUGGGAGCUACAAUUACUGUUGAUGGAUGCCAGCUAGUUUUAUUGACUGAUUCUUUUUAUCUUUUAGAUGACAUCACAGGCUUAAUGAUGUGUGACAUGUCCAGAAAGGCUUGUGACAUUGAUGGUAGAGGAACUGGUCAGCUGGGAUAUUUUAUUUUGCAAAGAUAAUGCACGUCAGGAACUUGGGAGGAUGAGCUUGCUGCAGAGAUGAGACACUUUCCGCCUAAGCCAGGCAGGGGGAGCACCAAGUCUGGAUAUCCUCCUGCAGUGGAGCCACUUCUGGUUUACAAGUACCUUCAGAAUACCCUGACCUCAGUGAAUAUUUUGUCCUAAACUCUGGAAAAAACACAGCUGAUAGCAUGGGAUCAGCUGUUUGCUGUUUAUGUUUCCAGGCUGUAUCUGCAUAGUCUAAGUUGACUGCAGUAUAACUGUAAUUUAUUAUGGUUAAUUGGAGUGAAAAUGCAGAAACUGGAGCCAGCAGAAACUGAUGGAGAAAGCUCUUUGCUACUUAGAGAGUGAACAGUGUUUCUGCAUUUUUUAUUGUGUUCUUGUUUUCUGCCUGUAUCCAGAUUAAGGUACGUCUGCCCCCGCUGUUAUGUUGCACCCAGUGGUCUUGCUGUGGAAAAAGGAGAGGAUUUUUGCUUUCCUCCUUGGGGAAUGCCUUAACCAUGAGAAGGUUAUGGAGCAGCAGGACUACUGUGGAAGGCUCUUUUCUUAUACUGACUACAAGAGCCUGGGAGAUGAAGAAAGUCCUAAAGAGAGGGCAUCUGUCAUCCAUUUUCUGGUGUUUGCUCCUGAAUAGACCUUUACCAUGUUCCAUUUCACACAGCACUGCAAACAAGAUAAUGAGUGAUUAAUGUACUCUGGUAACUCCAUGGGCACGCUGAGCAACACGCCAGCUGCUCCCACUGAAGCCCAGGGAACAGUGUGUGAGCAGUGAAGGGUGCACCUUUCUGUAAUGUAUGUGAUGAUGGGGAAUCAAUAUGAGUCUGCUUCUGUUGGCUGGAAGCGUGGGAAUGCGCACCACCUGUAAAUAUCACCUUCGUGCCCACUGGGACAUGCAGGUGAAGUGUAAUCAGUGUUAAUAAUCCUGGUGUGACUCCCAGCACGAGAGGUUAUCAAGGCCCACUCUGUGGGUCAGGCUCCGGGUGCAGUGCAAACAGCUCCUCUGGGAACUAUGCACGUAGGUUUAGCACUGUGUGCUAUCAAGUAUUCAACAGCUCUGAGUCACUUCUUAACCUUUCUCUCAACCACUUCAGUAGUUGGAAGUGAUGAACAGUUUAGCCACCAAGCC